CGUACACUCCUGCGGGAGGCAGCAGUGGGGAAUAUUGGACAAUGGGCGCAAGCCUGAUCCAGCCAUGCCGCGUGAGUGAUGAAGGCCCUAGGGUUGUAAAGCUCUUUCACCGGAGAAGAUAAUGACGGUAUCCGGAGAAGAAGCCCCGGCUAACUUCGUGCCAGCAGCCGCGGUAAUACGAAGGGGGCUAGCGUUGUUCGGAAUUACUGGGCGUAAAGCGCACGUAGGCGGAUCGAUCAGUCAGGGGUGAAAUCCCAGGGCUCAACCCUGGAACUGCCUUUGAUACUGUCGAUCUGGAGUAUGGAAGAGGUGAGUGGAAUUCCGAGUGUAGAGGUGAAAUUCGUAGAUAUUCGGAGGAACACCAGUGGCGAAGGCGGCUCACUGGUCCAUUACUGACGCUGAGGUGCGAAAGCGUGGGGAGCAAACAGGAUUAGAAACCCGGGUAGUCCCA
rnacentral:rRNA from 1 species